rnacentral:misc_RNA from 1 species
AUGUGAUACAAGCUAAAGCUCAAAGCGUUUGAAAACAAACACAUAAAUGCGUGAGGCGUGACAAGGUUUAUACUCAAUCAUGGCGGUACUCUGGAGACUGUUAGCCAUUCUCAUCAUUUUUUUUAUCAAUCACCCAAGUCCAUCAUAUGGUGCUGUUCUUAAGUUUGAAAGGUCAAAGGUCUUUGAAGAUAUUUUCAAAGUAUCUCCAGGGAGAUUGUUACCUGGAAACAAAAAGCGCCCCCUGGAGGACUGGAUACAAGAGAUCCAGGGCUAUAGAGCAAUUGCUGACCAGAUUAUAGAGAGGUCUGUGCAUGGCCCUGCUGCAAAUCAGUCCUACAACAGACUAGCUACGUUUGUGGACAAGUUUGGCAAUCGACAGGUUGGCUCACAAAACCUAGAGGAUUCCAUAGACUACAUGCUGGACAAACUGAAAGAGGAUGGUCUGAAAAAUGUCCACGGAGAAGAAGUCUGGGUUCCACGCUGGGUGAGGGGACAGGAAUCAGCAGAAAUGCUGUCACCUAGAAGAAAGGAUCUCGCCCUUCUAGGCCUUGGUACUAGUGUGGGAACUCCUGAGAAUGGCAUCCAAUCAGAAGUCAUUGUGGUAAGGUCAUGGGCUGACCUUGAUCAACAUGCGAAGCAGGUGAAGGGGAAGAUUGUGGUGUACAACCAGGAAUGGAUAAGCUAUAGUGUGUCUGUGGACUACCGCAGUAAUGGGGCAGCAAGGGCUGCGGUCUACGGGGCAGUGGCCACACUCAUACGCAGUGUCACCCCUCUGUCCAUCUACAGCCCACACACUGGCAUGCAGGACUACGCAGAUGGUGUCAAGAAGAUUCCAACAGCAUGUAUUACAGUUGAGGAUGCCGAGAUGAUGGACCGAAUGCAGCAGCGAGGUGAGAAGAUUGUGGUGAAACUAAUGAUGGGAGCUCGGAACCUUCCACCAGUCAAAUCAAGGAAUACUGUGGCUGAAGUGGUGGGCAGUACUUAUCCUGAUGAGGUUGUGUUGGUCAGUGGACAUUUGGACAGCUGGGACGUUGGUCAAGGGGCAAUGGAUGAUGGUGGGGGUGCCUUCAUUUCCUGGCAGGCUUUGUCCUUGAUCUCUCAGCUGGGACUCCAACCCAAAAGGACAAUGAGGAUGGUUAUGUGGACAGGAGAGGAAAUCGGAGCUGUCGGAGCUGAAGCUUACUUCCAGGCUCACAAGGAGAACAUCGGUAAAUUUGAUAUGGUAAUGGAGUCAGAUAUUGGAACUUUCCUGCCAUAUGGGAUACAAUUUACUGGUAAUGAAGAAGCUACAAAGAUAAUGAAGUCUGUACUUGACUUACUACAACCGAUCAACGCUACUAAACUAAAACCUGGGGCUGACGGUGAGGACAUUGAUAUGUGGAUGUCUCAUGGUGUACCAGGUUCAAGUCUAUAUUUAGAUACUUCUAAAUACUUUUACUAUCACCACACUAAUGGCGACACAAUGACAGUCCAGAAUCCUGGAGAAAUGAACCUAUGUGCUGCUGUGUGGGCAGUGGUGGCAUUUACAGUGGCAGACAUGGAGGAAAUGUUGCCACGAUAAACCUCCGAUAGUAAGGAUCAUAAGUUGUCAUAGUAACCUGUAGGAUGAUAUUGAAUCACAUGUCACCUAUGUGAUAUAGAAUCACUUGGAUACAAGGUGAUAUAGAAUCACUUGUCACCUAGGUGAUAUUGAAUCACAUGUCACCUUGGUGAUAUAGAAUCACUUGUCUCCUAGAUGAUAUAGAAUCACUUGUCACCUAUGUGAUAUUGAAUCACUUGUCACCUUGGUGAUAUGAUGUCGAAUCAUAUUCUUCAUGUUGAAUCAUACAAUGUCAUGAACUUGAUGUAAAUCACCGGUUGGUUGCCUUGAUGAUGAGGUUGGUAUUGUGAUUUUUCCUAGACUUUCUGUGUAUAUUUUUCUCAUGUUUAUUACAGAAUAUUUUGACCAGAAUUUUAAACUAUACAUUACACAGUCAGGGGUGUUUAUUGUCACUAGUUUGCUGCCCAGGUCUAUGCUCAUGCUUUCUUGAUGUAUCUUUAUAAUUAUAUUUAUAUAUUUAUUUUAUUUAUUCCAAAAACAUCUUAAUCAGAAUUUUACAUUUUUCACAUUUCAUAUAUACAAAUACAGUCUUGAUGAAGCACCUUUUGCAUGAGUCGUACACUUUUAAUGGUGAUGUUAUUCUUAUUUCAAUUUACUUAAACAGCUGGCCUUUCUUGACACGUUUCUACAAUCAGUUUUAUGAAUAAGCAUGACAAUUGUUUUUGUUUUUAAAGUAUUGUCCCAAAAAAAUAACAAUUUUAGUCAACUGAUGAUUGAUUUAUUCCAGUGACGAUUCGUUAGUUUGGGAAGGUUAUGACUUGGUCACUUGUUUGGGUUGUUUUUCAAUGUAUUUCUCUAACAAGUUUUUGUUUGAUGACAUUUCUACCUCCAAACAUUGAUAUUACGGACCCCUGGUUUUUUCCAAAGAGACAUAUCUGAAAAGAAAAUACAUUUCUAGUCUUAAUUUUCAGUGUGCCAGAUACAGUUUUUGUUUUAAAAAAUUACUUACCUAUUUGAAAUAUAAUUAUACCUCACAAAAAACACUUGUAGGGGAUAUUAGAUGGGCUCUAUACAUCAAACUGUUUGUGCAUUCCGAGCAACAGCUCCAAAACCUUCCCACAUAUCCAUGAAACUUUGUACAUCUAUCAGGCUGGAGUCCUGAUACUGCCUUGUGCUAUUAGGAAAUUAUUAUUUUCAAUUCAUUUCCUGUUAUCAUGGAAACAAAUACCCAAAACUACAAAAAUCUUGUUUCUUUGAUUUUCCAGGCCAGAACCUGAAAGUUGUUUCGCAUAUCUCUAUAAAACUUGGUACAUACAUCAGACUUUUGCUCUUGUGUUUUUUCCUAUUUUGGAAUUAUUAUUUUCAAUAUCUUUUCUGAUUCAAUAGAAACAAUGAGCCAAAAAUUCAGUGUGUCCAAUCUUUACCAGACAAUAAGUCUAGAACCAUUAUAAAAGUCAGUGUUUCCAAUCUUUACCAGACAAUAACUCUAGAACCAUUCAGACUAUUCAGUGUUUCCAAUCUUUACCAGACAAUAACUCUAGAACCAUUAUACAAUUCAGUGUUUCCAAUCUUUACCAGACAAUAACUCUAGAACCAUUAUACAAUUCAGUGUUUCCAAUCUUUACCAGACAAUAACUCUAGAACCAUUAUACAAUUCAGUGUUUCCAAUCUUUACCAGACAAUAACUCUAGAACCAUUAUACAAUUCAGUGUUUCCAAUCUUUACCAGACAAUAACUCUAGAACCAUUAUACAAUUCAGUGUUUCCAAUCUUUACCAGACAAUAACUCUAGAACCAUUAUACAAUUCAGUGUUUCCAAUCUUUACCAGACAAUAACUCUAGAACCAUUAUACAAUUCAGUGUUUCCAAUCUUUACCAGACAAUAACUCUAGAACCAUUAUACAAUUCAGUGUUUCCAAUCUUUACCAGACAAUAACUCUAGAACCAUUAUACAAUUCAGUGUUUCCAAUCUUUACCAGACAAUAACUCUAGAACCAUUAUACAAUUCAGUGUUUCCAAUCUUUACCAGACAAUAACUCUAGAACCAUUAUACAAUUCAGUGUUUCCAAUCUUUACCAGACAAUAACUCUAGAACCAUUAUACAAUUCAGUGUUUCCAAUCUUUACCAGACAAUAACUCUAGAACCAUUAUACAAUUCAGUGUUUCCAAUCUUUACCAGACAAUAACUCUAGAACCAUUAUACAAUUCAGUGUUUCCAAUCUUUACCAGACAAUAACUCUAGAACCAUUAUACAAUUCAGUGUUUCCAAUCUUUACCAGACAAUAACUCUAGAACCAUUAUACAAUUCAGUGUUUCUAAUCUUUACCAGACAAUAACUCUAAAACCAUUAUUCAGUUCAGUGUUUCCAAUCUUUACCAGACAAUAACUCUAGAACCAUUAUACAGUUC